ACGGCCAUACCACCCUGAACGCGCACGAUCUCGUCUGAUCUCGGAAGCUAAGCAGGGUCGGGCCUGGUUAGUACUUGGAUGGGAGACACAAGGUGGAUUUCCUGUCUGCACGUC
rnacentral:rRNA from 1 species